GAAAGCAUUCCUGAUAAAGGAUACAAUUUUAAGAUACAAUGCAAAUAUCCCCCUGAUGGAGUGCCUCGUAAGAAAUGGGAACGUAUGUGUAUGUCUUGGAACACUGAAGAGUGGGAAAAGAAGUCCAAAGCAGGGAGAGAAAACCGCAAUAAUGACUUAUGUCGUCAUACAGGCGGGUCAAUGGGGUUUGAUGAACACCGUCGCAACUUGG